AAUGAACGUUGGCGGCGUGGAUUAGGCAUGCAAGUCGAGCGAGAACCCAGCAAUGGGGGACAGCGGCGAAAGGGACAGUAAUGUGUAGAUUAUCUGCCCUCAGGUCCGGGAUAGCUGCGGGAAACUGCAGGUAAUACCGGAUAACAUCUCCGGAUCAAAGGUGUGAUUCCGCCUGAGGAUGAGUCUACAUCCUAUUAGCUAGUUGGCAGGGUAAUGGCCUACCAAGGCUUUGAUGGGUAGCGGGUGUGAGAGCACGACCCGCGUCAUUGGGACUGAGACACUGCCCAGACACCUACGGGUGGCUGCAGUCGAGAAUCUUCGGCAAUGGGCGCAAGCCUGACCGAGCGACGCCGCGUGCGGGAUGAAGGCCUUCGGGUUGUAAACCGCUGUCAGAGGGGAUGAAAUGCAGGUGGGUUCUCCCAUCUGUUUGACAUAGCCUCAGAGGAAGGACGGGCUAAGUUCGUGCCAGCAGCCGCGGUAAGACGAACCGUCCAAACGUUAUUCGGAAUUACUGGGCUUAAAGGGUGCGUAGGCGGCGCGGAAAGUUGGGUGUGAAAUCCCUCGGCUCAACCGAGGAACUGCGCUCAAUACUACCGUGCUCGAGGGAGAUAGAGGUGAGCGGAACGUAUGGUGGAGCGGUGAAAUGCGUUGAUAUCCUAAGGAACACCGGUGGCGAAAGCGGCUCCCUGGAUCUCUUCUGACGCUGAGGCACGAAAGCUAGGGGUAGCAAACGGGAUUAGAUACCCCGGUAGUCCUAGCCGUAAACAAUGAGCACUGGAUUGAAGGGUCCUCCGUAGCCUUUCAGUCGCAACGAAAGCGUUUAGUCCUCCGCCUGGGGAGUAUGGUCGCGAGGCUGAUACUCAAAGGAAUUGACGGGGGCUCACACAAGCGGUGGAGGAUGUGGCUUAAUUCGAGGCUACGCGAAGAACCUUAUCCUAGUCUUGACAUGCACGGAUUAACUCCUGGAAACAGGAGCCAGGCCUUCGGGUACAACGUGCACAGGUGCUGCAUGGCUGUCGUCAGCUCGUGUCGUGAGAUGUCGGGUUAAGUCCCUUAACGAGCGAAACCCUUGUCACUAGUUGCCAGCGCGUCAUGGCGGGGACUCUAGUGAGACUGCCGGUGUUAAACCGGAGGAAGGUGGGGAUGACGUCAAGUCCUCAUGGCCUUUAUGACUAGGGCUGCACACGUCCUACAAUGCCACGUACAAAGGGAAGCAAACUCGUGAGAGCAAGCAAAUCUCAAAAAACGUGGCCCAGUUCGGAUUGCAGGCUGCAACUCGCCUGCAUGAAGCCGGAAUCGCUAGUAAUCGCGGGUCAGCAUACCGCGGUGAAUGUGUUCCUGAGCCU
rnacentral:rRNA from 1 species